UACGAAGGGGGGCUAGCGUUGCUCGGAAUCACUGGGCGUAAAGCGCACGUAGGUGGAUCGCUAAGUCAGGGGUGAAAUCCUGGAGCUCAACUCCAGAACUGCCUUUGAUACUGGCAAUCUCGAGUCCGGGAGAGGUGAGUGGAACUGCGAGUGUAGAGGUGAAAUUCGUAGAUAUUCGCAAGAACACCAGUGGCGAAGGCGGCUCACUGGCCCGGUACUGACGCUGAGGUGCGAAAGCGUGGGGAGCAAACAGGG
rnacentral:rRNA from 1 species